UACGUAGGGUGCAAGCGUUGUCCGGAAUUAUUGGGCGUAAAGAGCUCGUAGGCGGUCUGUCGCGUCGGCUGUGAAAACUCGGGGCUCAACCCCGAGCCUGCAGUCGAUACGGGCAGACUAGAGUUCGGUAGGGGAGACUGGAAUUCCUGGUGUAGCGGUGAAAUGCGCAGAUAUCAGGAGGAACACCGGUGGCGAAGGCGGGUCUCUGGGCCGAAACUGACGCUGAGGCGCGAAAGCCAGGGGAGCAAACGGG
rnacentral:rRNA from 1 species